AGAGUUUGAUCAUGGCUCAGGACGAACGCUGGCGGCACGCUUAACACAUGCAAGUCGAACGAGAGAAGAGGAGCUUGCUUUUCUGAUCUAGUGGCGGACGGGUGAGUAACACGUGAGCAAUCUGCCUUUCAGAGGGGGAUACCGAUUGGAAACGAUCGUUAAUACCGCAUAACAUAAUUGAACCGCAUGAUUUGAUUAUCAAAGAUUUAUCGCUGAAAGAUGAGCUCGCGUCUGAUUAGCUAGUUGGUAAGGUAACGGCUUACCAAGGCGACGAUCAGUAGCCGGACUGAGAGGUUGAUCGGCCACAUUGGGACUGAGACACGGCCCAGACUCCUACGGGAGGCAGCAGUGGGGAAUAUUGCACAAUGGAGGAAACUCUGAUGCAGCGAUGCCGCGUGAGGGAAGAAGGUUUUAGGAUUGUAAACCUCUGUCUUCAGGGACGAAAAAAGACGGUACCUGAGGAGGAAGCUCCGGCUAACUACGUGCCAGCAGCCGCGGUAAUACGUAGGGAGCGAGCGUUGUCCGGAAUUACUGGGUGUAAAGGGAGCGUAGGCGGGAUCGCAAGUCAGAUGUGAAAACUAUGGGCUAACCCAUAAACUGCAUUUGAAACUGUGGUUCUUGAGUGAAGUAGAGGUAAGCGGAAUUCCUAGUGUAGCGGUGAAAUGCGUAGAUAUUUGGAGGAACAUCAGUGGCGAAGGCGGCUUACUGGGCUUUAACUGACGCUGAGGCUCGAAAGCGUGGGGAGCAAUCAGGAUUAGAUACCCUGGUAGUCCACGCCGUAAACGAUGAUUACUAGGUGUGGGGGGACUGACCCCUUCCGUGCCGCAGCAAACGCAAUAAGUAAUCCACCUGGGGAGUACGACCGCAAGGUUGAAACUCAAAGGAAUUGACGGGGGCCCGCACAAGCAGUGGAGUAUGUGGAUUAAUUCGAAGCAACGCGAAGAACCUUACCAGGUCUUGACAUCGUAUGCAUAGCUCAGAGAUGAGUGAAAUCUCUUCGGAGACAUAUAGACAGGUGGUGCAUGGUUGUCGUCAGCUCGUGUCGUAAGAUGUUGGGUUAAGUCCCGCAACGAGCGCAACCCUUACUGUUAGUUGCUACGCAAGAGCACUCUAGCAGGACUGCCGUUGACAAAACGGAGGAAGGUGGGGAUGACGUCAAAUCAUCAUGCCCCUUAUGACCUGGGCCUCACACGUACUACAAUGGCUGUCAACAGAGGGAAGCAAAGCCGCGAGGUGGAGCGAACCCCUAAAAGCAGUCUUAGUUCGGAUUGUAGGCUGCAACCCGCCUACAUGAAGUCGGAAUUGCUAGUAAUCGCAGAUCAGCAUGCUGCGGUGAAUACGUUCCCGGGCCUUGUACACACCGCCCGUCACGCCAUGGGAGUCGGUAACACCCGAAGCCUGUAGUCUAACCGCAAGGAGGACGCAGUCGAAGGUGGGAUUGAUGACUGGGGUGAAGUCGUAACAAGGUA
rnacentral:rRNA from 1 species